UACGGGGGGGGGCAAGCGUUGUUCGGAAUUACUGGGCGUAAAGGGCUCGUAGGCGGCCAACUAAGUCAGACGUGAAAUCCCUCGGCUUAACCGGGGAACUGCGUCUGAUACUGGUUGGCUUGAAUCCGGGAGAGGGAUGUGGAAUUCCAGGUGUAGCGGUGAAAUGCGUAGAUAUCUGGAGGAACACCGGUGGCGAAGGCGGCAUCCUGGACCGGUAUUGACGCUGAGGAGCGAAAGCCAGGGGGAGCAAACGGGG
rnacentral:rRNA from 1 species